AUCUGCAUAUGCAAUAAAACCGUGGUCUGCUCAAUUCAUCCGGGUUAAUCAUAAUUUUCUACUUGUGACAGCACAGUUCAAAAUGAAAUUCUUUCAAGUUAUCGGCUCCCUGAGCAUACUAGUCUCCAUUGACGAAUAAUGCAGCAUUAAAAGAACAAAGGAGAGGAGGAAUAAGGAUACUCAUGAAGGUUGUCCCUCGGCUUGAUUGCCAAGGCUUACCCACAACUGCUCGCAUACCCAGGAUCUGCAACCAUGAACCCGCAGGCCUAGCCUUCGUCCCCUGGCUCACGACGACACGAGCCGCCGCAACAUUGACCACCGUGGUGUAGCUUGGGUCAAUGUGAGGGACGGUGCCUUCUUCGGAGUUGAGUAGGGUAGGGUAGGUUGUGAAAAGGUAGGUAGGUAGGUAGGUAGGUAAGUAGGAAAUGAAUUCAGAUUUUAAAUAUGUAAAAAUGAUCCUAAAUUUUAAUUUUGGGAAAUGUUUCGACUAAUAAAUGCAUUGAUGUGUAAUAAAGUUCAACCAAACUUUGAAUAAAUGAACACAAAGCGAAUUAUUCAUGCAUGCCAACACACAAUUUUCUUUUCUUCUUCCUUGUUAAUUAGCAUAAUUGUUAGUAAUAUUCAAAUAAGUGACGCUAUUCUAAUGAAUAGAACUGUCCUAACAAGAAGUGACCUUUACAAGGACAAGUGUACGUAAAAUCGGCUUAUUUUAAAAAUAUUUCGGCAUAUCGGCAUUGUUUUCUGUAGAAAACCGUCAAUCGUCAAAGGCAUCAUAAAUUUGAAUGUAUGUAAAAAGAUUUGAAGGAAAUCGAGUCAUAAAUAAAAGUUUUAAAAGGAAUUAUGUAUGUACAUUUGUAAAAAUAUUCCUCUCUUUUGAAGAAUAUGCAUAUUUUGCUUAAAAAUCCAAAUUAAAAAGUGUGUUCCUCAGACAAAGUGUAAAAUAUAAUUACUUAUGUAUGUAUAAGCUUAAAAUGUAAAAGAAAUUGUUAAAAACCCGAUUUAUUGUACGUAUGUAUGUACUGAUUUACGAAAAGAGAAGCUGGAGGCAGCUUGAGACAAGUUUGCAAAAAUUUUCUAAGUUUUUUGAGAGGACUGGGGCAAUGUGAAACAGGUAAGAAAAAUUUGGGCAGAGUUCUGUUUCGAUCUGACCACUUUUUAAAAUUUUUCAGAAGUUUCUGUAAGAAAAUGGGGUAAUGUGAUACUACCCAAAAAAAAAUUUCGAAGGGUUUUGUUUAAAAAUUGCCUUUUUUCAUUUUUACUUUUCAAAAAAUUAAUCUCAAAAAACUCUCUCAAAAGUAUAGCGUCUUUUUGUUAAAUAAAAAUGUAGAAAAAAUGUUUACGGCACCUUUUUAUGAUUUUCAUCACGGCUUAGAAAGAUACGAACCAGAAAAUGGAGAAGACGGCGUGGUCCACUCGUUUGGGCAGAAUGAGACAAAGGGGCGUCCACGAAUUCGGACGAAUUUUCGGGCAGAGAGGGGUCCAAAAAAACGAUCUCAGGUCAUCACGUCUGUGGCGAUGGGUCUGGUGUCGAGGUACAACGAACAAACUCUGUCGGUCUAACCACGUCUGUGGGCGUGGAUGUGGUGUUGAGGUACAAAGAACGACCUCUGCCGGUCUAACCACGUCUGUGGGCGUUGGUCUUCUGGUGGGCGCUUGGUAGGUCAGAGGUGAGUGCAGUCGGGACGGACUGGGAUCAAUGUUCCGGAAGGUCACCACACAGUUUGGAGGCGUAAGGCCGUAUGUGCGAUCGGCAGCCCCACUUAUGAUGUGAGAUACACGAAAGUUAAUGUUUUAUCGGAAUUUAGCACUCGAAAUAAGUCACCGAAAUGUAAUACGCGUCCCCCGAGAGUUAUAGUUUUUAUAGAGCAACUGGUUAUCAAUUUAUUUUACGUAGCCGGAGGAUUUUACAUUUAUGUAUCAAGAAACCAAAAUAUAUUUAGAGGUUGUGGUAACUGUAGAAUUAUGGGGGACUUUAGGAUGGCAGUGGUGGAGAGAGGAGAUACGUCUUGGUAGACACCGGAACUCCGUCUGCCAGGAUUCUUGGAUGGAGGACAGUAUAUGUCCUUGCUGAAGGAGACGAUGUCCUUCAGUCGAUGUAUGGAUAAUAGUUCCCUCAGAAACUCAUAAGAAAAAGUUUAACAAUGAGACAUUUCAAGUCAGUCUUCGUAAAUCCGUAACCACUAAACUUAGGAACAUUUAUAAUGUAAUUUUUGCAUACAAACUUGCCAAGAUAUAUAGAUUUUGUAAACUUUCGUGGUUACGGACGUACGAAGGCUGACGUGACUUGCCUAACUAUUUUAUUACGUCACUUUCAGCCCUUUCCUGCCAUACCUGUACGUACUUAGAAAACACCCCAAGCUCUGACCUUAGCUGCAACAGUUUUCCAAGUUUAACCAAUACGACUACUUGUCCCGACGAAACUGGACUGAUUGAAGGUUCGGGACAACUACCUCGGGCACGACAGGCAGCCUGUGUGACCGCGUAUGGAUCAUAUGAGGGUAACAGAGUUGUCAUACGUAACUGCGGUGUAGUGGAAAGCGGCCACAUCGGCACCUGUAACAACUUUUACUGGUCCUCGUUCACCUUACCCAACGGGACGGUGGUCUACAUCCCCCCAUUUUUCAACGACGUCGCCUUAACUUCAUGCCUGUGUUCGGGUGAUAAUUGCAAUGUGCAUGAUGUCCAGGAAACAACCACCAAGCCUCCAUCCACCGGUCCGACGACCACCUUACCGCCAGGGUUGCACUGCUAUACCUGCUACUCAAUACCGGGCGUGGCUGGUUCAUUACCAGAAUGUGAGGACGGCGAAGCUUCUGCAAAUUCCUCCCUGCCUUCUAGAAAUUGUGGUGGUGAAGAAGACGAUUUGGUACGACAGUCCGACCCAAGUGUUGAACAAUUUGAUUAUUGAUGACUCCGCUGUUCCAAGCGAUAACCGUGAUGGAACUUUAAAAAUCAAAAAAGUCCUGUGUGGAAUGGGGCGAAGAGGUCGGGAGAAUGCGAGUUCCAUAGUCGUUCGAGGGUGUGGUUUGGUUGAUAGCAGUUACGACAACACGUGCAGCAAAAAAUUCACUUGGGUGGUCCGAAACCCGGAAGGAGUUGAACUCAUCAAGUUUCCAGCAAAUACUGACAGAGCUUUGAAUACCUGUUUUUGCUCCAGUAAUCAUUGCAAUGGGGCCACUGUGAUGGAGGUAAUGUUUGGCCUGGUAGUGAUGUGUGUUCUCUUGUCUGGGUUUUUUGGAUGAAAUAUGUUAAAUUUGAUCGUAUGUAGAGUAAGUAAAAUUAAUGUUUUAGACGUUUUGUUUUUGAAUAAAUCUUUUAUAGUUACAAUGUG